rnacentral:rRNA from 1 species
ACGAACGCUGGCGGCAGGCCUAACACCUGCAAGUCGAGCGCGCCCUUCGGGGUGAGCGGCGGACGGGUGAGUAACGCGUGGGAACGUGCCCUUUUCUACGGAAUAGCCUCGGGAAACUGAGAGUAAUACCGUAUACGCCCUUUGGGGGAAAGAUUUAUCGGAAAAGGAUCGGCCCGCGUUGGAUUAGGUAGUUGGUGGGGUAAUGGCCUACCAAGCCGACGAUCCAUAGCUGGUUUGAGAGGAUGAUCAGCCACACUGGGACUGAGACACGGCCCAGACUCCUACGGGAGGCAGCAGUGGGGAAUCUUAGACAAUGGGGGCAACCCUGAUCUAGCCAUGCCGCGUGAGUGAUGAAGGCCUUAGGGUUGUAAAGCUCUUUCAGCUGGGAAGAUAAUGACGGUACCAGCAGAAGAAGCCCCGGCUAACUCCGUG